rnacentral:rRNA from 1 species
UUCUUGGAGAGUUUGAUCCUGGCUCAGGACGAACGCUGGCGGCGUGCCUAAUACAUGCAAGUCGAGCGGACUUGAUGGAGAGCUUGCUCUCCUGAUGGUUAGCGGCGGACGGGUGAGUAACACGUAGGUAACCUGCCUGUAAGACUGGGAUAACUACCGGAAACGGUAGCUAAUACCGGAUGAUUCAUUUCACUGCAUGGUGAAUUGAUGAAAGACGGAGCAAUCUGU